rnacentral:rRNA from 1 species
GACGUAGGGCGCGAGCGUUAUCCGGAAUUAUUGGGCGUAAAGAGCUCGUAGGCGGUUUGUCGCGUCUGCUGUGAAAACUGGAGGCUCAACCUCCAGCCUGCAGUGGGUACGGGCAGACUAGAGUGCGGUAGGGGAGAUUGGAAUUCCUGGUGUAGCGGUGGAAUGCGCAGAUAUCAGGAGGAACACCAAUGGCGAAGGCAGAUCUCUGGGCCGUAACUGACGCUGAGGAGCGAAAGCAUGGGGAGCGAACAGG